UGGGGUAUCGCCAAGCGGUAAGGCACCGGUUUUUGAUACCGGCAUUCCCUGGUUCGAAUCCAGCGCAUCCCAGCCA
rnacentral:tRNA from 1 species